UGGCGGACGGGUGAGUAACACGUGGGUAACCUACCCAUCAGAGGGGGAUAACACUUGGAAACAGGUGCUAAUACCGCAUAAUGUCUACGGACCAAAGCGGGGGACCUCCGGGCCUCGCGCCAUCAGAUGAACCCAUAUGGGAUUAGCUAGUAGGUAAGGUAACGGCUUACCUAGGCGACGAUCCCUAGCUGGUCUGAGAGGAUGAUCAGCCACACUGGGACUGAGACACGGCCCAG
rnacentral:rRNA from 1 species